rnacentral:rRNA from 1 species
UACGUAGGUGGCAAGCGUUGUCCGGAUUUACUGGGCGUAAAGAGCGCGCAGGCGGUCGUUCAAGUCGCGUGUGAAAGCCCCCCGGCUCAACUGGGGAGGGUCACGCGAUACUGAUCGACUGGAAGGCAGGAGAGGGUAGUGGAAUUCCCGGUGUAGUGGUGAAAUGCGUAGAUAUCGGGAGGAACACCAGUGGCGAAGGCGACUACCUGGCCUGUUCUUGACGCUGAGGCGCGAAAGCGUGGGGAGCGAACAGG